rnacentral:rRNA from 1 species
UACGAAGGGUGCAAGCGUUACUCGGAAUUACUGGGCGUAAAGCGUGCGUAGGUGGUUCGUUAAGUCUGUCGUGAAAGCCCCGGGCUCAACCUGGGAAUGGCGAUGGAUACUGGCGGGCUAGAGUGCGGUAGAGGAGAGUGGAAUUCACGGUGUAGCAGUGAAAUGCGUAGAUAUCGUGAGGAACACCAGAGGCGAAGGCGGCUACCUGGACAAUUGCUGACGCUCAGGCACGAAAGCGUGGGGAGCCAAAAGG